GAUGAAGAACGCAGCGAAAUGCGAUACGUAAUGUGAAUUGCAGAAUUCAGUGAAUCAUCGAAUCUUUGAACACAUAUUGCGCUCUCUGGUAUUCCGGAGAGCAUGCUUGUUUGAGUAUCAGUAAACACCUCAACUUCCAUAUCUUUUUUGAAAUGGGAGUUGGACUUGAGUGAUCCCAACGCUUUUCCUCACCGAAAAGUGGCGGGUUACUUGAAAUGCAGGUGCAGCUGGACUUUUCUCUGAGCUAUAAGCAUAUCUAUUUAGUCUGCCUAAAAAACAGAUUAUUACCUUUGCUGCAGCUAACAUAAAGGAGAUUAGUUCUUGUGCUGACUGAUGCAGGAUUCACAAAGACAGGCUUCGGCCGACUUUGUAAACUCGAUCUCAAAUCAAGUAAGACUACCCGCUGAACUUAAGCAUAUCAAUAAGCGGAGGA
rnacentral:misc_RNA from 1 species